rnacentral:rRNA from 1 species
UACGUAGGGUGCGAGCGUUGUCCGGAAUCAUUGGGCGUAAAGAGCGUGUAGGCGGUCCGGUAAGUCCGCUGUGAAAGUCGGGGGGCUCAACCCUCGAAUGCCGGUGGAUACUGUCGGGCUAGAGUGCGGAAGAGGCGAGUGGAAUUCCUGGUGUAGCGGUGAAAUGCGUAGAGAUGUGGAGGAACACCAGUGGCGAAGGCGACUCUUUGGCCUGUAACUGACGCUGAGGCGCGAAAGCGUGGGGAGCAAACAGG